UGCAUACUCCCUCCGUCCCGAAAUAUUUGUUGAAGAAAUGGAUCAAAAUAGAUGUAUUUAAAACUAAAAUACGUCUAGAUACAUCCAUUUCUAUAACAAGUGUUUCCGGACGAAGGGAGUAUUUU
rfam:Triticum aestivum genome assembly, contig: Triticum_aestivum_CS42_TGACv1_scaffold_404264_5BL